GACGGAAGGUGGCAAGCGUUGCUCGGAAUCACUGGGCGUAAAGGGUGCGUAGGCGGCCGUGCAAGUCUGGCGUGAAAGCCCCGGGCUCAGCCCGGGAAGUGCGCUCGAAACUGCGCGGCUCGAGUGCCGGAGGGGAGAGUGGAAUUCCUGGUGUAGCGGUGAAAUGCGUAGAUAUCAGGAGGAACACCGGUGGUGCAAACGGCUUUCUGGACCGUAACUGACGCUGAGACACGAAAGCGUGGGGAGCAAACAGG
rnacentral:rRNA from 1 species